rnacentral:rRNA from 1 species
GAUGAACGCUGGCGGCGUACCUAAUACGUGCAAGUCGAGCGAACAGAUGAGGAGCUUGCUCCUCUGACGUUAGCGGCGGACGGGUGAGUAACACGUGGAUAACCUACCUAUAAGACUGGGAUAACUUCGGGAAACCGGAGCUAAUACCGGAUAAUAUAUUGAACCGCAUGGUUCAAUAGUGAAAGACGGUUUUGCUGUCACUUAUAGAUGGAUCCGCGCCGCAUUAGCUAGUUGGUAAGGUAACGGCUUACCAAGGCAACGAUGCGUAGCCGACCUGAGAGGGUGAUCGGCCACACUGGAACUGAGACACGGUCCAGACUCCUACGGGAGGCAGCAGUAGGGAAUCUUCCGCAAUGGGCGAAAGCCUGACGGAGCAACGCCGCGUGAGUGAUGAAGGUCUUCGGAUCGUAAAACUCUGUUAUUAGGGAAGAACAAAUGUGUAAGUAACUAUGCACGUCUUGACGGUACCUAAUCAGAAAGCCACGGCUAACUACGUG